AUGAUAAUAUAAUCAAAACUAAAUUUUUAACUAAUAUUUAAUCAUUUUUAUUCAAUAAUAAAUCAAGAUAUUUAAACAUGGUUUUUAUAAAAGCCUCUUUGUUUAUUUUUUUGUUCUUAUAUCUAGUAGAUUAAAGGUUGAUUAGUAAUUUUAUCUUCUAGGCUAUAAAAACUCUUUUAUUACCUUAGAAAGACUAUAAAUUGAUAAAACUAUAUUAGAAGAAAUAAAUAA
rnacentral:lncRNA from 1 species